GACGAACGCUGGCGGCGUGCUUAACACAUGCAAGUCGAACGAAGUGGCGAACGGGUGAGUAACGCGUAAUCAACCUGCCCUUCAGAGGGGGACAACAGUUGGAAACGAAUGCUAAUACCGCAUACUGAAGGAGGGGAUUGCGUCUGAUUAGCUAUUUGGAGGGGUAACGGCCCACCAAGGCGAUGCUCAGUAGCCGGUCUGGGAGGAUGAACGGCCACAUUGGGAACGAGAAACGGCCCAGAAUCCUACGGGAGGCAGCAGUUGGGAAUCUUCCGCAAUGGACGAAAGUCUGACGGAGCAACGCCGCGUGAGUGAUGACGGCCUUCGGGUUGUAAAGCUCUGUUAAUCGGGACGCGGUACCGGAAUAGAAAGCCACGGCUAACUACGUGCCAGCAGCCGCGGUAAUAC
rnacentral:rRNA from 1 species